GUCCUCAGCUGCGUGGUGGGUGUGGGCAGGGCUGGUUCCUCGGGGCGAGGCGGGGUGCUCGUCUCCCAGCUCCAGAGGGCUGCUGGCGCCCCUCGGCCGGCCCUGAUCCAGGAUGGCCUCAUCUGGAGACCCUUCCCUUUGUGACACCGGCCCAGGCCAGGCGGUAGGCGAUAGACACCAGCAAAGAAUCCGGAAGUCCAGCAAGUCCCUCAGCAAGGUUUAUUCACGUACGGUAAACGGCGCACGUAGAAGCGUACAAUUGAAUGAGCUGAGAUGCAUAGACAGCCCGGGACCCUUCGCCACGUUCAGGACAGGGAACAUCUCCAUCAACCAAAGUCUCUGCAUUUUAUUUUUACGGUAACGAUGUAGCCAGGACCGAGCGGGGGCCUCCUUCCCACUGUGUAACUGCUGCCUCGUCGGGCUGGGCCUGCCUGUCCGUCAGUCCGUCUCAGGCCCUUACGAACCUCCUGCUAAAAAUGCCUGUGUGGGGCUUCCGUGGUGGCGCAGUGGUUAAGAAUCCACCUGCCAAUGCAGGGGGCACGGGUUCGAACCCUGGGCCAGGAAGAUCCCACAUGCUGCGGAGCAACUAAGCCCAUGUGCCACAGCUACUGAGCCCGCGUGCUACAACUACUGAAGCCCGCGCGCCUGGAGCCCAUGCUCUUCAACAGGAGAAGCCACUGCAGUGAGAAGCCCGCGCACCGCAACGAAGAGCAGGCCCUGCUCGCCGCAACUAGAGAAAAGCCCACACACAGCAACGGAGAUCCAACGCAGCCAAAAGUAAAUAAAUUUAUAAAAAAAAAAAAUAAAAAGACCUGUGUGCCCGUCCCUGUGCACAGCUGCCCGGCUGCUGUAAGAUAACUUCCUGGCAGCGCUACCCGAGCCAAGGGCUGCUUCUCGUCAGAUCUGGCAACGUUCCCACCCGGGGAAGCAGCUGCACCCGCGAUGCCCCACACCCCAGGUGAGGCCCCUCCUGCCCCCGCGUCUGCAGGGCCUCAGGAGGAGCCGCCUCCUCCGGGUGUCCCUGGUCACCGCCGCGCCUUCAUUUCCUGCCCCCCGAUAUCUGACACCAAAUGCUGGGGGGUCUCCUGAGCUCUGCUCCAGGCCAGCCGGUCCCUUUUCUCGGCAACAAGAGUGAUUUUUCAAGCUCGUGACCCCUGAACUUUGAGGUGGCGCCCACACCCUGGAGUCCAGAAGGGCCCCCUGCCUCUGCAUUGCAUCACCUGAACCCAAGGGUUCUGUGCCUGCUGGGACUCUUCAUAGGGAAGAAACCCCGAAGUGGCUGGAGCAGGGCACUGGGUCGAAGGGCAUCCCCCCGACAUUCACACCAACCCAGAGCCUCAGAAUAGGACCUUGUUUGGAGGGGGGGUCUUUAGAGAGGUCAUCCUGCCCCUCGCGCAGUGACAGAGGCAGAGGUGCGGGCCACAGCCACAAGCCAAGGAGCGUGGGAGCCCCAGAAGCUGAAAGGGGCAGGAAGGACCCCCCCCUCCGCUGGAGCCGCCGUUGGGAGAUGGCCCUGCGACACCAGCCUCCAGAGCUGACAGGGUGUGAGUUGAUGGUGUUUGCAGCCCCCUAGGCUGUGGUCCUGUUAGGGCAGGCCCAGGAGACCGUGGAAGCAGAGUUCAGAAAAUUACCCCACUCGCAGAAACGAGGCGAAUGGGUGACGUGUGUCCCUUCACGGGGUCACUGUCUAACCAGCCUGCCGGGUGUCGCUCGGCCCAGGAGGGUUGCUUUCUUUGACUUGCCAUUUACUAUCGACCAGGCCCAGGUGCCACGAAGCUGGAGGUUACCUUGCGGAAAAUAGGAAAAGUGCAGGUGAUUUUCCCCCAUAAACAUGCAGGUGACUUCUGUCUGGCGGAGAAGAUAAGCAAGGUUGUGGCUUUAUUGUCCUGUUAAGACAUUAACCUGACAUCGAUGGUAGACGUUACCUCCUGAGCCCAGCUCAGCAGCCUCGUUCCGGAGCUCCUUCUCUGACUGCACGUGGAUCCGUCAGGGUUUGACAUUCUUCUUUGAACCAGCCUUGCCAUCUAGACUCGUUCACCUUGUUAACGGAUUGAUCGAUUCAUUGGCCGCACCACAUAGCAUGUGGGAUCUGAGUUUCCCUGCCGGGGAUCGAAACUGCGCCCCCUGCAGUGGAAGCGCGGAGUCUUAACCACUGGACCGCCAGCGGAUUCCCUCUUCAAAAAAUAUUAACAGAACACCUACUGUGUUCUGGGCACUGUUCCCGGCCCCGUGACCCCACACGAAACAGCCCGGCGCGUAAGAGGGGUUCCAAAAACAUUAGCUCCUUCCCCAAUUUUCAAAUCUGUGCACUGCUAAACAUCUCCUACAAAGCAAUAACCGCUUGUCAGGUACAGACAUGUCAGUUAAAAGCUGGCCGUCACCUCCAGGUCACUGGGCCUCUGGUGCUUCACUGGUCCCUCAGGGCCGCCAGACGGAGAGGUACGGGCAGCCCUGGUGGGGAUGGGCUGUUCCUUUUACUGCUAAGUGGUACGAUCUAGUCAAGUGGAAAAGUGCUACUUGCUGGGUAAUAAAAGCUUCCAUUGUUCACCAGCCCUGGAAACAUAUUAAUGAAUAACCCAGUGUGCGGCCCCUGGCCCCAGCGGUGUGAACGGUUGGUUGUUAAUACGGCAGGAACAGGUACAAUCUUCCUUUUGUAGUUUUAAGUGGGCCCAGAGCCCCAGGUCGACCAAGGCCCAGACAACGGGAUGGGCUCUCCCUGCAGACCCCUGUUGUCGGCCCACAAACGUUUGGUGGAGCUCUGUGCUGGCUCUGGACAGAGAAUCCAGCCUCAGGCACAGAGAUCCGGUGGA